CAGUAGCCGCGGUAAUACGAGGGGGGCAAGCGUUGUUCGGAUUUAUUGGGCGUAAAGGGUGCGUAGGCGGUUUGAUAAGUCUCGUGUGAAAUCUCUGGGCUCAACCCAGAGUCUGCACGAGAAACUGUCGGGCUUGAGUAUUGGAGAGGUGAGUGGAAUUUCCGGUGUAGCGGUGAAAUGCGUAGAUAUCGGAAGGAACACCUGUGGCGAAAGCGGCUCACUGGACAAUAACUGACGCUGAUGCACGAAAGCGUGGGGAGCAAACAGGAUUAGAUACCCCUGUAGUCCCUGUCUCUUAUAC
rnacentral:rRNA from 1 species